UUUCCGUAGGUGAACCUGCGGAAGGAUCAUUCAUAAUUAAUGUUUUAUGGCACUCUUUUAACUACCUAUCCACCUGGUGAGCAAUGUCAGGGUUGACUUUUCUCUCUAGAGGAUCAGCGCUUAACACCAACUAUAUCUCAACUCUUUGUCUUAAAAAUAUUAUGAAUAAAACAAUUCAAAAUACAACUUUCAACAACGGAUCUCUUGGCUCUC
rnacentral:misc_RNA from 1 species